rnacentral:rRNA from 1 species
CUUACGGGAGGCAGCAGUCGGGAAUAUUGCGCAAUGGAGGAAACUCUGACGCAGUGACGUCGCGUGCAGGAAGAAGGUUUUCGGAUUGUAAACUGCUUUAGACAGGGAAGAAACAAGACAGUACCUGUAGAAUAAGCUCCGGCUAACUAUGUGCCAGCAGCUGCGGUAAUACGUAGGGAGCAAGCGUUAUCCGGAUUUAUUGGGUGUAAAGGGUGCGUAGACGGGAAGGCAAGUUGGUUGUGAAAUCCCUCGGCUUAACUGAGGAACUGCAACCAAAACUAUCUUUCUUGAGUGCUGGAGAGGAA